rnacentral:lncRNA from 12 species
AUCGCCCCCGCCUGUCCUCUGGGCCGCAUCGGGAGCCCGAGAGCCGCGCACUCAUGGCUUGGUCCUGGGAGCGCUGCCGAGUCCCGCACGAGGGCUUCGGGCCGAGUCGUAGCGCCUGCACACACGUAAUGGCCCUUUUGAGGGGCGCUGGGCACAGCCUCGCCCCCGGAGAGCUCCCAGGUCCGAAGAGUAAAACCAGACAGCAUUGCCGGCUUCAAUGCGGGACUGAGUCCUCUCCCUAUCAUGAAUCGCAAAGCUGCCCCGGCCCCUGGACCCCACCCCGCGAGCAAGACCCGCGCCCUCCACGACCCGCAGUGCUGUGGUCCGCUGUAGGAGCCUGA